rnacentral:rRNA from 1 species
GUGUGGCAUAUUGGGCAAUGGGCGCAAGCCUGACCCAGCAACGCCGCGUGAAGGAAGAAGGCUCUCGGGUUGUCAACUUCUUUUAUCAGGGACGAAGCAAGUGACGGUACCUGAUGAAUAAGCCACGGCUAACUACGUGCCAGCAGCCGCGGUAAUACGUAGGUGGCAAGCGUUAUCCGGAUUUACGGGGUGUAAAGGGCGUGUAGGCGGGAAAGCAAGUCAGAUGUGAAAACCAUGGGCUCAACCUGUGGCCUGAAUUUGAAACUGUUUUUCUUGAGUACUGGAGAGGCAGAAGGAAUUCCUAGUGUAGCGGUGAAAUGCGUAGAUAUUAGGAGGAACACCAGUGGCGAAGGCGGUCUGCUGGACAGCAACUGACGCUGAGGCGCGAAAGCGUGGGGAGCAAACAG